AUUGAACGCUGGCGGCAUGCCUUACACAUGCAAGUCGAACGGUAACGGGCCUUCGGGUGCCGACGAGUGGCGAACGGGUGAGUAAUGUAUCGGAACGUACCUUUCAGUGGGGGAUAACGUAGCGAAAGUUACGCUAAUACCGCAUAUUCUGUGAGCAGGAAAGCAGGGGAUCGCAAGACCUUGCGCUGAUUGAGCGGCCGAUAUCAGAUUAGCUAGUUGGUGAGGUAAAGGCUCACCAAGGCGACGAUCUGUAGCGGGUCUGAGAGGAUGAUCCGCCACACUGGAACUGAGACACGGUCCAGACUCCUACGGGAGGCAGCAGUGGGGAAUUUUGGACAAUGGGGGCAACCCUGAUCCAGCCAUGCCGCGUGAGUGAAGAAGGCCUUCGGUUGUAAAGC
rnacentral:rRNA from 1 species